AGUGAACGCUGGCGGUAGGCCUAACACAUGCAAGUCGAACGGCAGCACAGUAAGAGCUUGCUCUUACGGGUGGCGAGUGGCAGACGGGUGAGGAAUACAUCGGAAUCUACUUUUUCGUGGGGGAUAACGUAGGGAAACUUACGCUAAUACCGCAUACGACCUACGGGUGAAAGCAGGGGAUCUUCGGACCUUGCGCGAUUGAAUGAGCCGAUGUCGGAUUAGCUAGUUGGCGGGGUACAGGCCCACCAAGGCGACGAUCCGUAGCUGGUCUGAGAGGAUGAUCGGCCACACUGGAACUGAGACACGGUCCAGACUCCUACGGGAGGCAGCAGUGGGGAAUAUUGGACAAUGGGCGCAAGCCUGAUCCAGCCAUACCGCGUGGGUGAAGAAGGCCUUCGGGUUGUAAAGCCCUUUUGUUGGGAAAGAAAAGCAGCAGGUUAAUACCCCGCUGUUCUGACGGUACCCAAAGAAUAAGCACCGGCUAACUUCGUG
rnacentral:rRNA from 1 species